rnacentral:rRNA from 1 species
UACGUAGGGGGCAAGCGUUGUCCGGAUUUAUUGGGCGUAAAGAGCGUGUAGGCGGCUUGACAGGUCUGCUGUGAAAACUCGAGGCUCAACCUCGAGAUGUCGGCGGAAACCGUCUGGCUAGAGUCCGGAAGAGGAGAGUGGAAUUCCUGGUGUAGCGGUGAAAUGCGCAGAUAUCAGGAAGAACACCUAUGGCGAAGGCAGCUCUCUGGGACGGUACUGACGCUGAGACGCGAAAGCGUGGGUAGCGAACAGG